UAGCGUAGGGGGCAAGGCGUUGUCCGGAAUCAUUGGGCGUAAAGCGCGCGUAGGCGGCCCGAUAAGUCUGCUGUGAAAGUCCAGGGCUCAACCCUGGAAUGCCGGUGGAUACUGUCGGGCUAGAGUUCGGAAGAGGCAAGUGGAAUUCCUGGUGUAGCGGUGGAAUGCGCAGAUAUCAGGAGGAACACCUAUAGCGAAGGCAGCUUGCUGGGACGACACUGACGCUGAGGCGCGAAAAGCGUGGGGGAGCGAACAGG
rnacentral:rRNA from 1 species